CAGCCUACGGUCGACCCGGGAGCUGAGGGGAGUUUGGGGAGAGGAACGCCUACCCUGGCGUCGAGGAUGUCUCCGGGCAAACGCAGCGGGCCUGCGGCAGCAGUUUCUUAAAGGUAUCCAUGGGCUAACAAGACAGAGACAUAUUCCAGGGCCAAUAUCUAGAAGAGAAGGAGAAAAUCCAGAAAGCAUGCAGGAUCCUAGUUCCCCAACCAGGGAUCGAACCCACGCCCCCUGCAGUGGAAGCACGGAGUCUUAACCACUGGACCACCAG